UACGAAGGGGGCUAGCGUUGCUCGGAAUCACUGGGCGUAAAGCGCACGUAGGCGGAUCUUUAAGUCAGGGGUGAAAUCCUGGAGCUCAACUCCAGAACUGCCUUUGAUACUGGAGAUCUCGAGUUCGGGAGAGGUGAGUGGAACUGCGAGUGUAGAGGUGAAAUUCGUAGAUAUUCGGAGGAACACCAGUGGCGAAGGCGGCUCACUGGUCCAUUACUGACGCUGAGGUGCGAAAGCGUGGGGAGCAAACAGG
rnacentral:rRNA from 1 species